AUGUGAGGAUCAGUAUGGCUGGCCUUGUGACAUGUGCUCCACUUUUGGUGAAUGCAGCAACCUUCUAGGCAAUACCUGUGGAUGCAUCAAUGCACUUCCUCCAAAUAAUACUUACUGCCAACCACUGUCAGAUCUAAAUCCCUGCCCAACGACAGCACCAACAACUACUCCUCCAGUCUUCCGUCAGUACCUUCUUUCUAUAGAACUGAAAACAACAACAGUUGCAGCUGUAG